AUUGAACGCUGGCGGCGUGCCUAACACAUGCAAGUCGAGCGGCAGCGCGGUAGCAAUACUGGCGGCGAGCGGCGGACGGGUGAGCAAUGCUUGGGAAUCUGCCUAUCAGUGGGGGACAACCCGGGGAAACUCGGGCUAAUACCGCAUACGUUCUUCGGAAGAAAGCGGGGGUCGCAAGACCUCGCGCUGAUAGAUGAGCCCAAGUCGGAUUAGCUAGUUGGUGAGGUAAAGGCUCACCAAGGCGACGAUCCGUAGCUGGUCUGAGAGGACGACCAGCCACACCGGAACUGAGACACGGUCCGGACAUCUACGGGUGGCAG
rnacentral:rRNA from 1 species